GGUUCCUGUGACCAAGAUCAAUAACAAACCUGUAAACAUUUAGGUCCUCCAUUUAUUAAAGCACAAACAUUCAAUAUGGAUGUAUUCAAGCAAUUUAAGGAGAGGCCGUGAAUUACAUACAUAACUAAAAUAUGCAGUGGACCUCAUUAGGUUCAAGACAAUUCAUUACCAUUGCCAGAAAGCCUUCCUAUGGCAAUGUGCUUUGGAGCUAGAGAG
rnacentral:misc_RNA from 1 species